CUUUGUGUCAACAAACUAACUUCUGUCAAAAAACUAUGUUUUUUAUAUGCUAAGAUCUGUAAAUCCAAAGGUUACCAUGACAGGUGCACAUUAUAGUUACACUUUAUUACAUGUAGAAGUAGACUAGUCACAAAGUUGUAGGAUAGAAUAAGUAUUAUCGCACGAAUGACUAGAGAAAAUAAACUGUAAUAGUUCAUUUAUAUUAGUAUAGAAUGUCUUUGGCUCAUUGCCUUUCGUAACACUGACAAAAAAUGCCUUGUGUCACUUUUUAUAUCAUGAAAAUAAUAUGUUUUUAUAUGAAAUUGAGACGAAAAAAACAGUGAAGACAUUUUCUGCACUUACAUCAACAAAAUGUUUACUGUGGGAAGUUUAUCUCUGCUUUUCCAAAAGAAAUUUGUCCUGAAGAUGUUCCUUUUAUUGUUGUACACGGUUCUUUCCUCGUGACUAAAACCUCUUGUUGGUAAAUAAAAAGAAAGAAAUGUACUUAAAGGGCUUAAAGGACAAUCAGUAGUUGAAACAAUAACAAAGCAUUCUCUGUGCCCCUGUUUCGGUAAAAAGCUGAGGAAUGGGCUCUACCUCUCCAAUUCAUAGACAGAGGACUGACCAUUGAUGAUAUAACAAUUAUAGUUCUAACCAUGUUUUGAUGCUAUAUAGAGUUUGUUUACAUUUACUUUGUUUACAAACAUUACAGUAAAAUAAGCUUUUAGUUGAACUAACCUCAUGAGGCAUUUAUAUUCUUUAUACAUUUUUAAGUAAAACAUUUUUUAAAUUCAAAUUAUAAGUCAAAUACUAAGCCUCACAUAAUUACUGCAAGAAUACGUUUGACCAUUUCCCGCUGGGGCUACCCAUACGUUUCCCGCUGGGUCUACCCAUACGUUUCCCGCUGGGUCUACCCAUACGUUUCCCGCUGGGGCUACCCAUACGUUUGCCGCUGGGGCUACCCAUACGUUUCCCGCUGGGGCUACCCAUACGUUUCCCGCUGGGGCUACCCAUACGUUUCCCGCUGGGGCUACCCAUACGUUUCCCGCUGGGACUACCCAUACGUAAAAUGUAUGCAUGCAUGACUGUUGCUUCGGAUAAAAGCUUCUGCUUAAUGACAUAUUAUAAAUUUGCUCGCAGGUUAAAGGCAUUACAGCUUUUAAAGACAAUUUCCAAUUGAGCUGACAUGCAAGAUGCAGUGAACGCGUGAACAUUGCCUUUAAAAGAUGCAAUAACCCACGAUUUGGAUUGAAUAUAUAUUUUGUACUUAAAUUAGGUAGGCCUACAGUAUAUACUCUGUAUUUACAUCAAAUGGAUUUCUACUUGUUCACUAGAAAUUCC
rnacentral:lncRNA from 13 species